GGUUGUGGCUCAGUGGUAAAGUGCUUACCUAGCAUGUAUGAGACACUGGGUUCGAUUCCUAGCACCA
rnacentral:tRNA from 1 species